rnacentral:rRNA from 1 species
UACGGGGGGGGCAAGCGUUGUUCGGAAUUACUGGGCGUAAAGGGCGCGUAGGCGGCCCGUCAAGUCCCGUGUGAAAGCCCCCGGCUCAACCGGGGAACGGCGCGGGAAACUAGCAGGCUUGAGUUCGGGAGAGGGAAGCGGAAUUCCUGGUGUAGCGGUGAAAUGCGCAGAUAUCAGGAGGAACACCGGUGGCGAAGGCGGAUCUCUGGGCCUUACCUGACGCUGAGGCGCGAAAGCUAGGGGAGCGAACAGG